CUCCAGGAUGCUGGGCAGCGAGUUUCCUCUGUCCAUUCGCUCCCUCCGCGCAUCUCCAUUCUACACACAAACAAACAUCUAUGUUAAAGCUAUGCCUGGGAAUCUUUACUGAACAUACACCUUAGUUGUACCAAAGCCAAACACAAACACUGUUAGAAAUCAUGCAUGUACACUAGUGUGAAGAUGCAAAUUAAACACACACACACACACACACACACACACAUACAUACAUCAGAACAGGACAGGACAGACAGACUUGGAGGAUGACUCAGAUUUGCAGGCGCUGUUCCAAACGUGCAGCUGUUCAGUACCAGUAAAGAUGGCAGGUUAGCUGAAGCACAGCACUCCUAAUGUCAUGCACAUGCCACACAGAGUCUGAGCAGAUGUCACGCUUACCUGAGCAGCUGAAAAAUAUGACAAUAGGAAGAUAAAGAAUGAUUACAUGGGAUAUAAAUGAUCACUGGAGAGUGCAUUUUUAAUUCUGUCUAGGAUGUACAACUAACACCAAACCAUUGACACAUCCAUGAGAAAAACAGUAUCUGCAUGUUGUUUCCUGCAGCAUGUUCUAUCCAAGUGUCAUUUCACUAUUACAUACAACACUUUCAAUGUGUAGAAGUUUGUCAAUAAAGCUGUUUUCUUGACAAAUAUGACCAAAAAUCUAGUCAAGCGAAUGACAAUAAAUGAGAUCAUUUAUAUAACUGUUAUGUGUGUCUGUUUAACAAGCUGUUAGAUUUACAUAUAGACUAAUGGGGUAAACUGGUUCUAUUUCAAAAACAUUAGAUGUGGAUGUCCUCAUGUAAACAGUAUUCCUCAGUAUGUUUUAAAGACCUUUGGGGAAGGUUGCAUUAUUUUCUAUGAACAUAAUCUAAAACUCAACUAUAAAUUCCUGCAUAACCAGGCUCUGGGUGCGCAGUGACCUCCUGGUUCCUCUCAGUCUCAGUAAUAUUGGAAACACUGGGAACAGUAAGGUGUUUUUAUGUAAAUCCUCAUUUAUACAAACUGCCUUCUCUGUUUGUGGAAAUAAUAUUUGUAAUCCUUUACCUUCAGGUUUCAAACUGGAUACAGACUCAUUUUACAAAGGGAACAGUCAUGGUGUCAUGAAUAACACACCCUUUCUUGUUGUACUUCAUUGUAAUUUAGCUAAAUAUAUGUCCCUAUACAAGUAAACACUAAAAUGAAAUUUUAAAAAAAUAAAUGGAACACAUUCAGCAUUAAUAACAAAAUGUGUUCAUA